GCCUGGGUGGCUCAGUCGGUUGAGCGUCUGACUUCAGCUCAGGUCAUGAUCUCGUGGUCAGUGGGUCCAAGCCCCCCAUCAGGCU
rfam:Felis catus isolate Cinnamon breed Abyssinian chromosome D1, whole genome shotgun sequence.